UCUCUCUCCCCGAUUCUUCUCCCUCUUCCUCUUCCUCUUCAGCUUCGUUUUAUCUCUCCUCUGUCGUCGCCGUCGCUUCUUCACCGCCGGAGAUCGAUCUCCCCCACCACCGUUGAUCUCUACCCUCUUCCAGAUCAGACUACUUCAGAAGCAGUUGGAGGAGGAAGAGAAGCUUUCAAAGCAGCACGUUGAGGCUCUUAAAGGGCAUUAUCAGAAGUACGAGAUGAUAGAUUCUACUUUAGGUGAUGGCACCUCAAAGCGUCUAUCUAAGUGCUACGGGGUAAAUCUCAAUGAUGACUAAGGAAUCUGACUUGAGUGAAGCUGAUGUCUUCUUCUCUGGUAGCAGCUGCUGUUGCGAGAAGUUUGUUGCUGGUUGCACUUUCCUAAGCUGGAUGACCUGCUCUUCUUUGUUGUUGUUGUUGUGUUAGAUGAAGUAUUCAAACAUACUACUUCACCCGGCUUAAAGGUGUUGCUGCAAAGGCUGAUGUCUUUCACAUCUUGUCUGGAAUGUGGAAGACUCCUGCAGAGCGUUGCUUCAUGUGGAUUGGCGGCUUUUUCCCAUUAGAACUCUUGAAGCUUCUGGUGAAUCAGUUGGAGCCCUUGACAGAGCACCAGUGUUAGUGGGUAUCUACAACUUGCAGCAGUCCUCUCAGCAGGCAGAAGAACCCUUAUCGCAAGGAAUGGAAGCACUGCAACAGUCUCUAGCUGAUACAUUAGCCAGUGGUACACCAUGCCCUUCUGGCUCAUCCGGCAAUGUAGCUAACUAUAUGGGCCAGAUGGCAAUGGCCAUGGGAAAAUUAGGAACUCUUGAAGGAUUUCUGC